CUGUAGUAUUUUUACCUAACAAUAAUCACCUCAACAAAUUAGAAUUUAUGUGAUCAUGUGUGAGAAAGUGUGAGAACAUUUUGUCAUGAUUUUUAAGAGAGGUAUAAUUUUUCAGUGAUUACGAGCCCAAUAUCCACAAGCAUGGAUAAUAAUGAUCAUGCUAUAUUUCAAACACUUCAAUAUUUUAUUUAAAAUUAUAGUAUUUGAUAAAAAAAAAGGCAUAUGUUCCAAUACAAAUCCACUUAUCCUCCAUAAGAUAAAUCUCUUCAUCAUGAUUUAAAUAUCUUUAAAUACUCCCCCCAUCAUCAUAAGAUAUGCAAAUACAAACGUCAGGGUUGGAUAUCACUCUAUUUAUAUGAUGUGAUGGACUCUGUUAAACUUUGGAGAACAGAGAAGAUCCCAGUACAAACAACACACACCAUGUUCUCUACAUCUCUACUGCUCCUGCUGGCAGCUGCUUCCUAUGUGCAUGGUGAGGAACUGACUCAGCCUGCUUCCAUGACAGUCCAGCCAGGCCAGAGUCUCUCCAUCAACUGCAAGGUUUCAUAUUCAGUUACCAGCUAUGGUACAGCUUGGAUCCGACAACCUGCAGGAAAAGCUCUGGAGUGGAUUGGAUACAUCUAUAGCGGUGGGGGUACAGCUUACAGUGACAAACUGAAAAAUAAGUUCAGCAUCUCCAGAGACACUGCUACUAACACAAUAACAGUUGGAGGACAGAAUCUGCAAACUGAAGACACAGCUGUGUAUUACUGUGCAAGUGGCACAGUGACACAGAAUAGUGGAUUCUCCUUACAAAAACUUUGAGACAUGUUAGAGACAUCCUCUCAGUGUGACUAAUAAACCAUCUCAUUCACACUUUUACUUUCUUCCACUGGAAUGAAGUUGUAAUUGCUUGACAUUUUUAAACACACAGUAGACAUUUUUAAAAUAAAACAUACAUUCUUCAAAGACUGUUGAUUUUGAACCAUUAUUAAUCUCUACAUUGUAUGGAAUAUUUAAUAAACAACUGGAAUAAAUGUUUAAUCAGUGAACUAGAAUGUCAGGAAUAAUACAAUUUAUACAUUUUUAAAUCAAAUAAACAUUCUGCAAAAAGACCAUUGAACCAUUAUUAUUCUUUUCAUUGUAUAGAAUAUUUAAUAAACAAUUGUAAUAUGUUUAGUCAGUGGACUCAAGAAUAAUACAGUUUGUUUCCAGCAGUGUGUUGUGUUUAACACACAGUCUGUUCUCAUAGUUUGAGGUGCAAUAUUUGAGACAACUGAAGGAGGCAGCAGAGCUCAACAAAUAAAAUUAAUAGGCAUGCCAGUCCCAAUACACACCCCUAGUCUCAAGCAGAUUUCCUGCACGAUUUCUAAAAACAAUCCUCCUAUUUGUAUUAGUAUCUGUUCAGAUCACAUUAUCUGUUCAUUACAAAUCAUUUAUUAACAUCCCUACAUCCCUACUCCUCACACAAACCUUCACCAUAUCAACAAUGUUACAUGAUUUUGCUUUCUUUUCUUUUCUUUUCUUUUUUUUUUGUAAUGUAGCACCUUCUGACCACAGCACCUACUACUUUAUUAAGAAAUGUUCAUUUUGGAUGAUUGUUCAACUAUUUAUUUGUUUUUUUUUAUGCUUAUUUAGUGUCCAUUGCAUUUUCACAAAAUGAAAAUGUUAGGGUUUAAUCACUUGAUCACAGGGAUACAUUAGUGUUUUAUUCCAGGCUAAUUUUUAAAAUAAUUCAGUUUUCAAAGAGAAAGAUCUUUAACUAAUAAACUAGUAACCCUGAGUCUUCAAGUUCAUGUAGCCAUUGAUAACAUUUUAUGCAAUGUCUCUUACAUUAGGGAGUGGUGUGUGUGUGUGUGUGUGUGUGUGUGUGUGAGGAGGAGGAGGAGGAGGAGGAGGACAGCAGCUGAGCACCUCUUGGCGUUUCAGUGGCCCACUGGCGGAUUUUUAACGUCCUUUCAUGCAACGUUAUUAGGAGAAUUUUGCCAUUUACACAGCUGUACGUAGUACGUAUAUACUCAUGCAAUAUACCAUUGGAAAGCUACGAAUCUUGUGAUGUGAUUGGUGCAUACCGUUUAAAGAUUCAAUCACAACAGCAUCUACAAUCAAGACCACCAUAAUAUAAACAACACCAAACGGAGAUGACUCACCUUUGAAGUCAGAUAACAGUCUACUGAACAAUAACAUCCCGAUAAUAACAGUCUUGUUACACUGCCAAAGGUCCAAACAAUCCAAUUAUGUAAAAAAUAUUUAGUCCAAAACAUAUUUUACAUCAAUAAAUCCACAAGAACUGCUGCUGUGUCGUUCCAAAUCAUCUCAGAAGACCUCCUGGUUUUCCUUCUCUACGCAGUGUGUGAGUGAACACACCUAAAUGCCAGAGCUCAAAAUGGCCCCUGGGCUCAGACCUAUCGAUUGACACCUCAUUUGAACCAAAGUAGCUUCUAUUCUAUAUCCUUUCUCCAGGCUUCACAAUCCAAUGAGUCUGUGCUUCAGCAAGCUCC